rnacentral:rRNA from 1 species
UACGAAGGGUGCUAGCGUUGUUCGGAAUUACUGGGCGUAAAGCGCACGUAGGCGGACUAUUAAGUCAGGGGUGAAAUCCCGGGGCUCAACCCCGGAACUGCCUUUGAUACUGGUAGUCUCGAGUCCGGAAGAGGUGAGUGGAAUUCCGAGUGUAGAGGUGAAAUUCGUAGAUAUUCGGAGGAACACCAGUGGCGAAGGCGGCUCACUGGUCCGGUACUGACGCUGAGGUGCGAAAGCGUGGGGAGCAAACAGG